rnacentral:rRNA from 1 species
UACGGAGGGGACUAGCGUUGUUCGGAAUUACUGGGCGUAAAGCGCACGUAGGCGGAUUUGUAAGUCAGGGGUGAAAUCCCGGGGCUCAACCUCGGAACUGCCUUUGAUACUGCAAAUCUCGAGUCCGGAAGAGGUGAGUGGAAUUCCUAGUGUAGAGGUGAAAUUCGUAGAUAUUAGGAAGAACACCCAGUGGCGAAGGGCGGACUCACUGGUCCGGUACUGACGCUGAGGUGCGAAAGCGUGGG